GGAUUUUCAGUAAUGGCA
rnacentral:sRNA from 1 species